GCAUAAAGCACGGCCAAAUAUAUUUAUAUAUUAUGGCACCCAAAGAGCAUAAUCGUGAUUCCAAUCUCUUGUCCGCACGAUAUCGGCAUUCAGCAUAUUUCCUGUUUGUUUUGGUACAGAGGUCUGUUGAGUCCGGGGAUGUACUUGAGCAGCCUCCGCCUGAAGCUCUUCUGUUUUGGUUUGCGCUGCAGGCUGCUGAAGCCUCCGCACUGCUGUUUUUCUCCGUUUGGCACUGCUGAUGAUGAUGCUGAUGAUGAUGAUGAUGGAGGCCUCAAGUAGCUGCGUGUGCUGGCACUGCGGGUCAGGCUGGUUUUAGCAGUGGUGAAGAGCUCGCUGGCGGGUCGAAUGAGACGUGGGCGAGUGUUCUCCUGUUUAGCAUGGAUCUGGUCAUUGCUGGUGUUGUUGAAGAUGCAGGUCUGGUAGAGCGGGUCGUCUUCAGCCGUGGCGGCGCUCAGAUGGCUGACGCUGCUGCUGGUGCUGUCGGUGCCCCGUAACGCUCGCAACGCUGCAGGACUCGGAGCUCCCAGACUCCCAUAAACACCAGCUGAUUCCAGAGACUCGUACAUCGCCACAUCACUCAUCACGAUACCUGUGAGAGGGGAAACAGAGUUAUAUAUAUGCACACACAUACACUAUACAGUUGAAGUCUGAAUUAUUAGCCCCCUUAGAAUUUCCCAAAUGAUGUUUAACAGAUUUAGCACAUUUUUACAGCGUGUCUGAUAAUAUUUUUUCUUCUGGAGAAAGUCUGAUUUGUUUAGUUUUGGCUAGAAUAAAAGCAGUUUUAAAUUUUUUAAAGAACAUUUUAAGGUCAAAAUGAUUAUCCCCUUUAAGCUAUAUUUUGUUUCAAUAGUCAACAGAACAACCCAUCGGUAUACAAUGACUUGCCUAAUGAC
rnacentral:lncRNA from 1 species